rnacentral:tRNA from 1 species
GGGGGCAUAGCUCAGUUGGGAGAGCAGUAGACUGAAGACAUUCGUAUUCUAAAGGUCCCGCGUUCGAUCCGCGGUGCCCCCA